rnacentral:rRNA from 1 species
UGCCAGCAGCCGCGGUAAGACGGAGGGGGCUAGCGUUGUUCGGAAUUACUGGGCGUAAAGGGCGCGUAGGCGGAUUGGUAAGUUAGAAGUGAAAGCCCGAGGCUUAACCUCGGAACUGCUUUUAAAACUACCAGUCUUGAGUGAAGUAGGGGGUGAUGGAAUUCCUAGUGUAGAGGUGAAAUUCUUAGAUAUUAGGAGGAACACCGGUGGCGAAGGCGGUCACCUGGACUUCAACUGACGCUGAGGCGCGAAAGCGUGGGGAGCAAACAGGAUUAGAUA